rnacentral:rRNA from 1 species
UACGGAGGGUGCAAGCGUUAUCCGGAUUCACUGGGUUUAAAGGGUGCGUAGGCGGAUAGGUAAGUCCGUGGUGAAAUCCUGCAGCUUAACUGCAGAACUGCCGUGGAUACUAUCUAUCUUGAAUGUCGUGGAGGUUAGCGGAAUAUGUCAUGUAGCGGUGAAAUGCUUAGAUAUGACAUAGAACACCCAUUGCGAAGGCAGCUCACAAAAACUGUAACUGACGCUGAGGCACGAAAGCGUGGGUAUCAAACAGG